AUUGAACGCUGGCGGCAUGCUUUACACAUGCAAGUCGAACGGCAGCGCGGGCUUCGGCCUGGCGGCGAGUGGCGAACGGGUGAGUAAUACAUCGGAACGUGCCCAGUAGUGGGGGAUAGCUCGGCGAAAGCCGGAUUAAUACCGCAUACGACCUGAGGGUGAAAGCGGGGGAUCUUCGGACCUCGCGCUAUUGGAGCGGCCGAUGGCAGAUUAGCUAGUUGGUGGGGUAAAGGCGUACCAAGGCGACGAUCUGUAGCUGGUCUGAGAGGACGACCAGCCACACUGGGACUGAGACACGGCCCAGACUCCUACGGGAGGCAGCAGUGGGGAAUCUUGGACAAUGGGCGAAAGCCUGAUCCAGCAAUGCCGCGUGUGUGAUGAAGGCCUUCGGGUUGUAAAGCACUUUUGGCGGGAACGAAAAGGACUGUGCCAAUACCACGGUUCGAUGACGGUACCCGCAGAAUAAGCACCGGCUAACUACGUG
rnacentral:rRNA from 1 species